rnacentral:rRNA from 1 species
UACGAAGGGGGCUAGCGUUGUUCGGAAUUACUGGGCGUAAAGGUGCGUAGGCGGUUGUUUAAGUCUGUCGUGAAAUCCCCGGGCUCAACCUGGGAAUGGCGAUGGAUACUGGGCAGCUAGAGUGUGUCAGAGGAUGGUGGAAUUCCCGGUGUAGCGGUGAAAUGCGUAGAGAUCGGAGGAACAUCAGUGGCGGAAGGCGGCCAUCUGGGACAACACUGACGCUGAAGCACGAAAGCGUGGGGAGCAAACAG